rnacentral:tRNA from 1 species
GCCCCUGUGGCGCAACAGGUAGACGCGGUCGUCUUAAAAACGAUUGUCAUUGGCCAUGCGGGUUCGAAUCCCGCCAGGGGCACCA